rnacentral:lncRNA from 1 species
GAUUACUUCAGAGAUGGUGAUGAUCUGAUAUUACGCUCUACAGAAAUGGAAGUGCUGAUCUAAUUUCACAGGCUGCUGCCAGAUAGGUGUUCAGAGCUGCUAGUUAAUACCAGCGUGAACGAGCAGGUUCCAGAAUAUGCUAGGACUCCCAUUUACACUGGGUCACUACAGAAGCUUGACCCUGGGUUCUGAAAUUUAAAAUAAAUGUAGAUGUUCUACAGGCAGGACAGUGGCUUAGUGGUUGGCACAUUUGCUUCACAGCACUAGAGGGUCUUGUGGUCAGGUCCCUACCUGGGUGAAGCUUCUGUGUUCUCCUCGUGUCUGUGUGAAUUUCCUCAAGUUCAACACCUUGGAGAUCAGAUAAGGCUGCAGAUCCAGGGGUUCAUGGACAUAGGGAAUUGUGGUAAACUGAGAUGCUGGUGCUGUUGUUCUCCCACUGUACACGGUCACUCAGGAUCUGACGUUCCCUGUCCGGCCAGACUGAUGGAAGUUUCUGGAAGUUAGCCUUCUUCAUCACUUAUCAGCGAACAGCUACCCAUCAUCCUGCCUCAGACUAGCUGCUCACUCUCCACUACUGAUUGCAUUGAUGUUUACAUGAACUCUAACUGCUUUCAUUACUCGUGUUGUUAUACACAUGGAUAUAUUAGACCUGUGUGAAUGCAUAAUUAAUUAAUAUUUAUUUUAAAGCUGUUUGACCAGUGGUAGGAUGGUCCCCCCUUAUAUGUGAGUCUUUGUCCUCCCAAGGUUUCCUUCCUCCUCCUGCAGCUCUGAGUGAGUUUUUCCUUGCCUCCGCGCUCACUGGAGGUUGUGUUUUAAAUGUUCAGAGUUUUGUCUGACUCUGUGUUUCUGUAAAUCUCCUUUGUGAAAACAUCAUUUGUAAAAAGCUAUAUUAAUAAAUUAAAUUUGAUUUGAUU